AACGCGAAGAACCUUACCAGGUCUUGACAUCCUCUGACAAUCCUAGAGAUAGGACGUUCCCCUUCGGGGGACAGAGUGACAGGUGGUGCAUGGUUGUCGUCAGCUCGUGUCGUGAGAUGUUGGGUUAAGUCCCGCAACGAGCGCAACCCUUGAUCUUAGUUGCCAGCAUUCAGUUGGGCACUCUAAGGUGACUGCCGGUGACAAACCGGAGGAAGGUGGGGAUGACGUCAAAUCAUCAUGCCCCUUAUGACCUGGGCUACACACGUGCUACAAUGGAUGGUACAAAGGGCUGCAAAACCGCGAGGUCGAGCCAAUCCCAUAAAACCAUUCUCAGUUCGGAUUGUAGGCUGCAACUCGCCUACAUGAAGCUGGAAUCGCUAGUAAUCGUGGAUCAGCAUGCCACGGUGAAUACGUUCCCGGGCCUUGUA
rnacentral:rRNA from 1 species